rnacentral:tRNA from 1 species
GCCGCUGUAGCUCAGUUGGUAGAGCAACGGACUGAAAAUCCGUGUGUCAUCAGUUCAAUUCUGAUCGGCGGCA